AGUAAAAUGCCUGAAAUUAAAGGGUUAUCUUGAUAGGAUAAAUUAUGUAAUUAUAUACUUUUACUA
rnacentral:tRNA from 1 species